rnacentral:lncRNA from 1 species
GGAUACCCCGGAGACAUCUGCGGCUCAAAGCAAAUUGGGAUAUGCUCCCAACGACAUGUCUAGGUCACCUGUACGGUAUGUCCCUCGUAGACACAAUUUUAUUCUAAAAAUACCAUGGGGAUCCACCACCAAGGAGCAUAUGUUCGGUUUGACCAAACUUCGGUCUGUAGGUCUUCACGGACAAAAACAAGAUACCAUUAAGGAUCUCACAAGCGUCAAGCUCACUGAUUGCAAUCUCUGGCGAUGGCUAGACGAAUGCUGAUGACAACAAACAUUCCCCUGUAACGGCACCAUAAGAAUGCUACUAGAACUCCCCGGCAAUGGAACUAGAAGAAUGUUGUUGAUGGCCCACCAGCGCAUGGGUUCACAGCAGUUUUCGAGGGUAGAGUAUUCGACCCAAAUUUGUUGAUACGCCAGACAGGAGGUGAGAAAAUACUCUCGAGUAUUAGCAGCUGAAUUUGUCAGAUUCAACCACACCUGAAAGAUUAGUAUCUGCAAGCAAAGUAUCAGUAGAAAAGUAGUAUGAUAACAACGGUGUUAGAAACGAUCUAUUGACGACAGAAUAUUCCUAACGAUCGUAUCAAUGGCGCCAAGUUGCCGUGUUGACGGAACUUGUUGGUUCCCUUCAACGUCCAGCGUACCAAGAUUGUAACAGGUAGUAGCAGUGUAACGAGCAAUAACAGCAGCAAGGAACAUCAGUAGUGACAGCAGUAGCAAGUAGCAACAGUAGCAAGCGACAGUAAUAGCAGUAGUAACAGUAGUAGCAGCACCAGCAGAGCAAAACAAGUACCAGCAGUAGGACAAACUCGUAGGCAAUGGGUCGGUGAUUUGUUUGGAUGAUAUUCAUCAUGCAACAGCUAUAACACGGAGAGAUAUGUGGCUAGCUCCCGUUCGUCAAUGUGAUGUAGGCAUGCAUUCCGUGUGUCAUCAUACGUGCUUAGGGAAAAGAACUUGCAUGACAUCUAUUGUCCAUCCCUCCUGUGGCAGCGGGGUCCAAAAGGAAACUAUGGGAUAUUAAGGUUCUCCUUUUAAUAAAGAACUGGACCAACACAUUAGCACUUGGUGGACACAUGAACUCCUCAAACUAUGGUCAUCACCAGGAGUGGUUUCGGUUAUUGUCACUCCGGGGUUGCCGGAUCAUAACACAUAGUAGCUAACUAUAACAUGCAAGAUC